rnacentral:rRNA from 1 species
UGGGGAAUUUUGCACAAUGGGGGAAACCCUGAUGCAGCGACGCCGCGUGAUUUAGAAGGCCUUCGGGUUGUAAAAAUCUUUUGUAUGGGAAGAAAAUGACAGUACCAUACGAAUAAGGACCGGCUAAUUACGUGCCAGCAGCCGCGGUAAUACGUAAGGUCCGAGCGUUGUCCGGAAUCAUUGGGCGUAAAGGGUACGUAGGCGGAUAAGCAAGUUAGAAGUGAAAUCCUAUAGCUCAACUAUAGUAAGCUUUUAAAACUGCUCAGCUUGAGGUAUGGAAGGGAAAGUGGAAUUCCUAGUGUAGCGGUGAAAUGCGCAGAUAUUAGGAGGAAUACCGGUGGCGAAGGCGACUUUCUGGCCAUAUACUGACGCUGAGGUACGAAAGCGUGGGUAGCAAACAGG